CUCAACAAUCAUACAUUAAAUACUAUAUCUUAUAUUAAUCUUUUUGGCUGUAAUAUUAGUGCUAAUUGAAAAAACAUUAGGAUAUCUGCUAUAUUCUACCAAUUAGUCAUCAGAUGAUCCUUUUAUGGAUGAUGUAGUCUUACUUAUAUAUGUUGAGCAGCUUUGUGUUAUGCAGAAUGAAAGACAGCAACUAUAUAUGAAUGCAUGCUAUUAUGCUAAUGACAAAUGUAGUUAGUUUGAAAUUCCCAAUUGUACAAACUGAUUUUUAGCGUUUUAAUUUUAAAUUUAAGUCAUGCUGGAUAUGUUAGUUAAGGGUCAAAAUCACACAACUGCAAUACUUAAUGGUCAAAAUCGCACAAUUGCAAUAUUUUGAGGGUCAAAAUUACAAUUAAACCUAAAGUUUAAUUAUAAAUUGUUUUCAGGGGGAUACAACUUGAAACACAAAUUACUAGCUGUCUGUCAUCUACUUUCUUUCUUUCUUUUUUUUAGUAUUCAACGGUGCCGAAGCCCAAAAAAGAAAUUACAAAGUAACUAGUCCGGGUAGAAACAACCCUACAAUCAUCAACAUAAACUUGAGCCACCUGUGGAGGAGGGGACACAAAGAAAACAACACCUUGUGACCUUCACUAUCCAUAUUAGCAAAGCACAUCCGCACAUCAAUUAGCUUCUCUAAACACAUGUAUAAUUCUAACCUCCCAAUUCAAAUCUAGCAAGCUUCUAACUCUCUACAAAAUUGCACAGUCCACACUAUUCCUUUUGUUUGCACUUUUCAAAUUAUGCACCAUAACCUGAGAAUAAAUUUGAAUCUCAACCUUCUCUACUUGUCUUCUCCUUGCUAGUUGUAGCCCUUCAUAUACCCCCCAUAAUUCUGUCAUAUAUGCAGAGGUAUGUCCUAUGAACUUCGCAAAUCCUUCAAUCCAAUUACCCUCCACAUCCCGCUUGCUNNNNNNNNNNNNNNNNNNNNNNNNNNNNNNNNNNNNNNNNNNNNNNNNNNNNNNNAAAUUGUCAUCAUGAAUUCGCUUAUCUCGCCAACCGCUGCCUGGUUAAAAGCCUUGCAUGCUUCAUUCUUUCUUUUUUUGAAUCUACUUUCUUACUAUCAGAAUGAAACCCAUUGUUAGACAAGACAAUACGAUAAUAGAUUCAAAAUAGAAUACGCUUACAAGUUGGUAUAAUAUUUUCGAAUCUCAUCAUACAUUCAAAAUAGAAAUUAAAUGUGUUUUACAAACAAGCAUACUCUAAUGUAUACAAGUAUGGCUAUUCUAAAUGAGAUGUCUUUCUUCUUCCACUUUGCUUGUUGUCUAGGCAUAACACAACAAUAGAAGACAUUCUGCCGUACCAAGCAGUCGAGGAGAAUAUGUUUCUGCAGAUCAGUUCACAUAAUAAGCUUGUGCACUAAGAAAUAAGUGUAAACCAGAAGGCUUCAAUAAUCAUUACUAGAACUGGAUAGUUCCCACGAUAAGCUUAUGCCUUAAGCAAUAGCAGUGCACACCAAAAGGCUUAAAAUAAGUCUACUACAGCUUGUAUGUGCCGCAGUUUUUUCUACAAGUUCUGACACCAUCAAUGCAAGAAACCAACACCAAGAUACCAGCAAUGAGUGAUCCGUCCUGCAAAUUUGAAUUAAAAACUAGCAGCUCCCAAUACUAAAUCACUUAUACUACAAAAUCAACAAUUAGACAAGCUUUAAAGAAAUAAUGUUCCAACAAAUUUAAGUAACAGUGGAAGGAUACCACAGUAAUAGAACAUUCCAACACCUGUUAAUACAUCUAUACAAGCAAUGCAGGCCCCGUUUGUUACAGAUUUUUUUUCAAAAAAAAUUAUUUUUUUUUAAUUUUACUUUGUGUUUGUUUCAGAUUUUUCAAAAAUCAUUUUAGUAAAAAAUAAAAUCAUUUUUUCAUCAAAAUGAAAAGCUAUAGCUUUCUUCAAAAUCUAUUUUUUUAAAACCAAUUUCUAAAAAAAUAGAUUUUUUGUUAUCGUAAACAAACGAAAAAUAGCUUUAGAUUUUUGAAAAAUCUCUAAAAAAAAUCAUUUUUUUUAAAGCUUGAACAAACAUGCCCGCAAUCACCCCUAUAAGUCAAAAUCCAAAAAAUAAAUAGAGGUUACCGUGUUGAAAUUCUAAAGAAAUGCACCUAAGAUUUGAUUUGUCAUGUUAAAAACAUUAGUAAUAUCCAAAAUUAUUUAUAAACGCUGCCACUCAGCAAGACCUUUCACGAUAAGAGUUUGAUUUUGAGUGAAAUGUUUCGUUUUGGUGAUGAAAUGGGUUUGUUUGUUUGUUUUGAGUAAGGAUAUUGGGAAAAAGCGAUUGGGAUUUGAUGAGAUGGAACUGUUCGUGAGUCACAGCAGAGACUUUUGACUUCUUCUUCGAAGUUUUGAGUCAUUUCCGUAGGUGUCGUCGACAACAUGUUUUGUUCUAGAUCUAGAACAAAGCGUGAUGUCGAUGACACCAACGGAAUCGAAGAGUGUUGACAUGAAAGUCGGGCGCAGUUGAUCAAGCAUCAGGAUAGCUUGGUUCAGCCGUUAGGGUUUAUCUUUCUUAUGAACUCCUCCGUUUUAAUUUAUAAGGAAAAAAAAAAUAAAUCACUUUUUCAUUCUAAAUUUAAAAGAAAGGUUUAAUUACACUUAUGGUUUUCUAUUUGUUAAAUUUAUAAAAAUAGUCUCCUAUUUUAAAAUUAAACUUUUUGAUUCCCUAUUUUUACAUUUAUUGUAGUUUUGGUCCUAACUCAAGUUUUUUUUUUUCCUAAAAGUAACGAUUUUUAACGUCAAAAAAGAUGAAUUUUGGUAUCAAAUAUGAUAUUUCAUCUUUAAACUCAAUUUUAGAGGCUAUAAAUCACUUCUUUUUUUUUUGUACAAACUAUAAAUCACUUUUUAAAACGCUAAAUAUCAUUAUUUUUAGAGAAAAAACAUGACUUCAGACAAAAAUUACCACAAAUUGAAUUUUAAAAUAGGGGGACUAUUACAUUUAAUUUACUCUUUUUCUCUUUUCCCUAAUCAACAAGGUUGUCAGAACCGGACCGGUCAUCGAACCGGCGAGCUCACCGGUUCAAGGUUCAAUUGGUCGGACCGGGUUCAAUCGGGGUCGAACCGUUUUUAAUUAAAUAUAUAUUUUAAAUAAUAUAUAAAUAAAAAUAUAUGAAUANNNNNNNNNNNUGCUCAAUAUUUCAUAAUUUCACACAUUAAAAAGAUAAAAUAUCACAAGUCAAAAUAAAAUAAAAUUUAUAAUUCAAACCAAAUGAAAAAUAGAUGAAAAACAAAAAUCUUUCUUAUUCCUACGACGUCGUUGUUUUGUUUCAUAUUUUUUUUAAAAAAAAAAGAAGUUAAAACGACGUCGUUUUGCCCUAUUUUUUUAAAAAAAAUAAAAAAUCUGCAAAACCGCUUGAACCGCCCGCCCGGUUCAGUGGUUCGACCCGGUUCGACCCCGGUUCACGCGGUUUUUUGCCGGUCGGUUUCCUAUCCAUUUUUUGCUCAAAACCGAACCGUUUUCAUGACCGGUUCACGGUCCGGUCCGGUUUUGAUAACCUUGCUAAUCAAUAUCCAAUUACGUUACAUUAUUUUUAUAUAUAUAGGGGCCGGGGUUCAACCCCAAUCACCCCACUUAUUCACUUUAAGGAUAAAGUUUCUAGCCCAAGACUACUUGACAAAAUAAUAAAUAUAAUAAUAACCAGGCAUUUUUUGUUUACAUUUUUACAUGAAAUUAUUUUAAGAAAAACACAAAAAUAUAUAUAAAUUAAAUUCAAUACAAAAAGUCAUAGUUCAAAUUAUUAUAUUUUAUCAUUCUUAAUAAACUUAUUUUACUUUUUUUUUUGUUAUUAUGUUACGAUCAUUUUGAGGUUAUCUUAUGGUCAUAUGGUUUAACAACUAUGAUUGGGUAUUGUUUGGUGGUUAAAGUGUUAUUUUGGAUAAUUUUGACCCUAUCGUAUGGUCAUUUUGGUUAGAAAUAGGUUGCGAGAUUACUCAAACAUAUGUUUAUAAACAAGGACAAUUCUCUAAUCUUAUAAGCCGUUUUUAUAUAGUUGAAUUAAGUCAUAAAGGCUGAAUUGGAAAAAGUCGACCUUCGGUUACCUUCUCUUCACGGCUACUUCUAAUGUGCACAAGUAGCACAAAUUGUGCACCAUGCACAAGUUGCUCGUAUUAUUAUAACGAAUACGAAUUUUACAAAAUCCACAGUUGGAUUGAAAGUUUAUAUCAUAAAGAUCGUCCAUAAUUUUUUUAAAAAAAAUCGAAAAUUAUUUGAUAUGUUAUUGUGACCCAUCAAAAUUAACGGUUUAUGAAUUUUAAUUGAAUACCGUUAAUCUUGAUGAGUCUCAAUAACAUAUCAAAUAAUUUUUAAUUUUUUUAAAAAAUUUAUGGAUGAUCUAUAUGAUAUAAACUUUCAAUCCAACGGUAGAUUUUAUAAAAUUCGUAUUCGUUAUAAUAAUAUUCGAAACUUGUGCACCAUGGAAGACUUACUGAAGUCUUCCAUGUUAGCCAAAGCCUCUCUUCACAUCAUAAUUCACUAAAAUUAGUUGAUAAAAAAAAUAAAGGAUAACAGAUUAAAAGUGUGAUAAAAAUUAACGGUUGAAUUAAUUUAUAAGUUAGCUUGUUGUGGUUGUCAAUCAGGCCCUAUACUAGCAAGCAGUGGAUUUCUCACCAUAACUAUAAUGGUCACUGGCGUGAUGCAGAAACACACCAAAAGAGUAAUAGUAAUAAUAAAAGGACCAAAAGAAAGAAAGAAAGAAAGAAAGAAAGAAAAUCUCACUAAUUAAGCUAAAAAUGAAAAAGAAGAUUCCAAAAGUAAUAAUGUUACAGUUAAAAUGGCCCAACCUUGCACUCAAGGAUUCCUUAUGUUUAUAUACUGUUGUCCUCCAACAAGGCAACAACACCACAUCCAACGUGUCUUCUAAGUUGUCUGAAUUGGAUUACCUAUGUGGCCAGAAAACAUAGCAUUCCACAUCUUAAACUCACACACCAAGCAUAACUCCACACUUCUCUUGUUGCUUUACUUGUGCUAAAACAUGUCUUAUACUUUCCCUUGUCUUUAUAUAAAGAGCACUGAGUCUCUUCCUAAGAUACUCAAACAUCUCAACAAUCAUACAUUAAUUACUAUAUAUCUUAAAUAUAAUUAAUUCUUCUCUGCUAGAAACAAUAUUUUGCUCUUAAAAAAAAUGUCAUUUGUUUCAAGAGUUGUUGCUUCAUGGUGCCAGAAGCAUGGAAAUGAUGAAGGUGCUGUUUUGUAUGACUAUCCUCUUGCAAUUUGCAAUGAAGGAGACGACGACGAUGAUGGUGGUUAUGAUUAUGCUCCAGCAGCAUAAACUCAUUAUCUGUCUGAUUGAUUUUGGCUACUACUUCAACUAGCUAAUUAGUCUACUACACUUAACUAGUUAAUGACUCUCUUCUUGUUUUUGGUUGUAACAAUAUUAGUGCUAAUUGAAAAAACAUUAGGAUAUCUGCUAUACUCUAAUAGCCUAUUAGUCAUCAUAUGAUCCUUUUAUGGAUGAUGUAGUCUACUUAUAUAUGUUGACCAGCUUUGUGUUAUGCAGAAUGAAAGAGCAACUAUAUAUGAAUAAUGCAUGCUAUUAUGCUAAUAACAAAUGUAGUUAGUUUGAAAUUCCCAAGUAAUGAUUUCAUUUGCUCUCACGUGUACAAACUGAUUUUUAGUGUUUUAAUUUUAAAUAAAAGUCAUGCUGGAUAUGUUAGUUAA
rnacentral:lncRNA from 1 species